GACGAACGCUGGCGGCGUGCUUAACACAUGCAAGUCGAACGAAGUGGCGAACGGGUGAGUAACGUGUAAUCAACCUGCCCUUCAGAGGGGGACAACAGUUGGAAACGACUGCUAAUACCGCAUACUGAAGGAGGGGAUUGCGUCUGAUUAGCUCGGUGGGGGGGUAACCGCCCACCAAGGCGAUGAUCAGUAGGCGGUCUGGGGGGAUGAACGGCCAAAAUGGGACUGGGACACGGCCCAGAAUCCUACGGGAGGCAGCAGUGGGGAAUCUUCCGAAAUGGACGAAAGUCUGACGGAGCAACGCCGCGGGAGUGAUAGCGGCCUUCGGGUUGUAAAGCUCUGUUAAUCGGGGCGCGGUACCGGAAGAGAAAGCCACGGCUAACUACGUGCCAGCAGCCGCGGUAAUAC
rnacentral:rRNA from 1 species